rnacentral:sRNA from 2 species
AAAGAUUCGAACCUGCAGCAGGUUCGAGUUGAGCGCAGCGAAACAACGGAGCCGCUCGCGGCGACGGCCCGAAGGGCGAGCGAAGCGAGUCAUCCUGCACGACCCACCA